AAAUUUCAUGGAAAUAGUUUCCAAAAAAAUUAGAUAUGAAAAAGAAAAAAAGGAAAAACGCAAAAGUUAAAAUCGAAAUAAAAGGGGAUCACCAAAAUAUUUAACAAAAAAACAAAAUUAGGUGACUACAAUAUCAAAAAAGACGCAAAAAAAAGUGAUUGUCAUCUAAAAAAAACUCUCAUUAGUUUUUGAGCCGUUAUGUCUUCACCUUUACCACA
rnacentral:lncRNA from 1 species